rnacentral:rRNA from 1 species
GAUGAACGCUGGCGGCGUGCUUAACACAUGCAAGUCGAACGAUCAAGCCCAGCUUGCUGGGUGGAUUAGUGGCGAACGGGUGAGUAACACGUGAGUAACCUGCCCUUAACUCUGGGAUAAGCCUGGGAAACUGGGUCUAAUACCGGAUAGGAGCGUCCACCGCAUGGUGGGUGUUGGAAAGAUUUAUCGGUUUUGGAUGGACUCGCGGCCUAUCAGCUUGUUGGUGAGGUAAUGGCUCACCAAGGCGACGACGGGUAGCCGGCCUGAGAGGGUGACCGGCCACACUGGGACUGAGACACGGCCCAGACUCCUACGGGAGGCAGCAGUGGGGAAUAUUGCACAAUGGGCGCAAGCCUGAUGCAGCGACGCCGCGUGAGGGAUGACGGCCUUCGGGUUGUAAACCUCUUUCAGUAGGGAAGAAGCGAAAGUGACGGUACCUGCAGAAGAAGCACCGGCUAACUACGUG